GCGUUCCAGGCAGCGCGUUCCAGGCAGCGCGUUCCAGGCAGCGCGUUCCAGGCAGCGCGUUCCAGGCACCGUGUUCCAGGCACCGUGUUCCAGGCAGCGCGUUCCAGGCACCGUGUUCCAGGCAGCGCGUUCCAGGCAGCGCGUUCCAGGCACCGUGUUCCAGGCAGCGUGUUCCAGGCAGCGUGUUCCAGGCAGCGUGUUCCAGGCAGCGCGUUCCAGGCAGCGCGUUCCAGGCAGCGCGUUCCAGGCACCGUGCUCCAGGCACCGUGUUCCAGGCAGUGUGUUCCAGGCAGUGUGUUCCAGGCACCGCGUUCCAGGCAGCGCGUUCCAGGCACCGUGUUCCAGGCACCGUGUUCCAGGCACCGUGUUCCAGGCAGCGUGUUCCAGGCACCGUGUUCCACGCAGCGCGUUUCAGGCACCGUGUUCCACGCAGCGCGUUUCAGGCACCGUGUGCCAGGCAGCGUGUUCCAGGCAGCGUGUUCCAGGCAGCGCGUUCCAGGCAGCGUGUUCCAGGCACCGUGUUCCAGGCAGUGUGUUCCAGGCACCAUAUGGACUAAAUUAUGAAUAGCCCACAACCCAGUAAGGGAGAAUAAUUGCCCAUGAUUUGAAAAGAAAGCAGGUUUUGUGCCAUAUCCAGAUGCUCACAUAACUCCCAUCCUGGAAUGCCUUGUCAAGGGCAGCUGCAGAUGCAACAAGGAUCAUGUGGAGCUGAAUUUGCACAUCUCGCUAAAGGACCCGUCGCAAUGCCUGCAGCUCUUUACAUAGCGUGCCUACUUCCUGCAGAAUUGGAGCCCUUCCUCAAUCCCCUCAGUUACCUUGGCUGCUAAGGAAGUGACCGUGCUACAUCCAACAUGCCUGUCCCGGGAACCCUGGGAGGAGGGAGAAGAAACGGCACCAGCCGGUUCUGGCUGGUGUCCAUGGCCAUGCAAUGUACCUGGCCCACAGUCUGCAGGCAGAACUUGAUAUGGAGUCACGAUUCCAGAGACAUUCAACGGCAGCCCCCAGCACAUGGGGUUCAGAACCCUAGAUGAGACCCAAAGAGACGAGGCGGAAGCCAGGAGGGAAGAUGCCAAGCAGGAGUGUCUUAGUCAUUUGGGCUCUCAUAGCGAAACACCAUCAACUGAGUGGCUUAGAAACAAUACAAAUUCAUUUUCCACAGUUCUGGAGACUGACAAGUCUAAGAUCAAGACACUGCAGAGUGCAUUUCUGGUGAGGGACCCUUCCUGGUUUACAGAUAGCAAUUUUCUCAUUGUGUACUUGCAUGCUGGAAGGGGUGUGGGAACUCUCUGGGGUCCCUUUUAUAAGGGCACUAAUCCCAUUCAUGAGGAUCCCGCCCUCAUGACCUCAUCACCUCCCAAAGGCCCCACUUCUAAUACCAUCAUGUUGGUAAUAUUCAAUAAGUGAGUUUUAGGGGAACACAGACAUCCAGACCAGGCAUCUUGGAUAUCUGGUUAGUACUGUGUAUAAAUCAUCAAUAAGGGCAAAGGACCUGGAGAGGACAAAAUCCAUAUCUCCUUUAGGACUGACACUUUUACCAAAACACAGAAGUUGAAAGGACCAAGAGAGAGUGAGGAGAGGCCCGUCGAUGGCUACAGAGGCCCCUGUUCCCUCCCCCCGAUUCUUUAGAAACUCAGCAACACUGUGGCCGAGAAACGGGGCAUGAACCAGGGUUGGGAAAUCCCAAGCUGUAGAACUGUGCUGGCAUCUCCAGGUCAUGAACCCAACAGUUUCUCUCAUGAGCGUUGCUCCUAACUCCCAUGUCACCCUUGUACCCAGUGGCCUGGCCGAAACGGGGCCCCAAGGAGCCUGGGGAAGUCAUGCUUUUUCCUGCCUUGCACUUCCGCACUGCUGGCACUGGAGAACUUUUGCCCCUCCCACUCAGCCAGACAGGAAAAGCACUCCUGGUUUAGGGCCAUUGAUCUGAUUUUCCGGAAAACUAUCAAGUGGGAUUGCCUUUUCUCAAAUGUGGAUCACAGCGGGAGGUGGGGAGGGUAGGGGCAGCCACAGGGUGGAAAACCACAAGGAGCCCCUGAAAACACCACCCAGGAUGCUUUUCUGGAGAGAAGCCUGAGGAAGGCAGAGCUGCUUUGAAUUAGCCCAGAACGGGGCAAGUGGAACGACCUCAGAAGGCUGAACAGGAGGCGCCCUGCACACAUGGACCCAGGCGCCACCUUUUUACCUGCUGAUUCUCUUCUAAAUUCUUGGCAAUAAGGACAGAGCUGUUUGGUGCUGCCACCCUGAGCAUGCUGGCUCAGGCUACCCUCCCUUGGCCGUGAGGGUCCCCGCGAGCUCUGGGUUGCAGUUCUCCCUGCAAAGCUCGCCAGCUCUGGCCCAUAAAAUCCUCUCUGCAAAGCAGAGGAGUAGGCCCAUUUUGUUCUAAAAUACUAGUAUGGAUUUUUUAUUUUAAGUGAGAAAAGAAAAAAAAAUAAAAGAAACAGGAGCAGAGAAAUAAACUUUUAACCAUUUCAAGCAAUUAAUGAUAAAUCACAGUUUAUUUUCCCCACCCUCUCCCAAAUACAUGACAUUCAAUGAAACAGUUGGUUCAAGUUACAGCUAACAUUUAGGCAAAGCAGGAUUUUAAUGAAUUUGUCGAGUGAGCAAUGACUCAUAGCAAUCCCAGCUCAGCCAACAUCUUCAAAGCAGCUUGGGCACACACAGUGCAACAGUGUGAAGCAAAACGCUGCUGCCUUUGGACAGGGUUAAAUGAACAGGAGAAAACAAAUACGUGCUGUCGAUUCUUUUAUUUUUCUUUGUUAAGUCUGAGGCGUGUGCAAUGUGGAAUUCUUUGCAGUAAUUAAGAUUUGUGGGUGGGUGAAUUUUAGAAAUAUGAGUCCUUCAAGAUGUUUUGUUGGAAAUAUGGGAAAAGGAGUCAUUGCUGAUAAUUGUGUGAUGAAACAGAAUUAGGAGCUCCUCUGGGCCGGGCCUCUCUUGUCUGAAGCUCUGCCAUUGUAAACCUCUGGGAAAGCUCUCUGAAUUAUUCUCUCACCAUAAGCACCCACAAGACAAACUGGACAAGCCGUUAAGCUCAGGGAAGUUGGAGAGAAGUUUAAUGGUGCUAGGGAGCGCGUCUCAGAAGCACCAAGCUUGAGCGUGGCUGGCCCCACCUGGCUCACGGUCCCCCCACCCCCGGCAGGCUGCUCCUAUCACAUCAUCUACAAUACAUGCACCUGGGCUUGGUGCUAGACUCAAGAAAGGAUCCAUUUUUUGCUUCCAGCACCUCCCUUUGGGUAACUCCCUUAGGCCCUCAUCCUCCUCUCCACUGUUAGGUCUCAAUGAGCGGAGACGGGGAUGUGAAGACUUGCUCUCCAGUUGGCCACCUUUUCCCUCUUCCUUGGGCUCCAUCCUGCCAGGUCACGAAGGUCCUGUGGAAUCAUGGCUGCUGAGGUUCCCUUCUGACCACGCCAUCCUCUCCGCCAUGCCUGAACACGCUCGCUCCAUCAUCUCUCUGGAGCUUAGAGAGGCUUCACUCACCAUCUGCUUUGCCUCCAUCAACUUGAAGCCCUCCUGCGUCCUCACCUUGGAACUGCUCCCCAUGGGGCUCCCAUUCUGGGAGCCUUGUUUCCAUGGGAAGGCAGCUGCCUCUCCAAAUGCCAGCCCAUUCCAAGACUGGAGAUGACGUUGCAGACACAGGGCUGGUCAUGGGCGUGCCGUAAGAGACACGUGCACAGAGCUCCCCAGGCACACCCACUUGGCAUGCCCGGGGUUUGUGCCUACCCAUGAUUUAAAGAAAUGGAGUUUGGAGAAUUGGGCCAAAACCACAAAUGGAAUCAGCUCCUUCUGAUCAAAUCAUCUGGCUUUGUCAGGAAGCUUCGGGAGGUAAUGGAAACAUGGAGUGACGUCAGUGGCUUUUGAGACGAGAGAGCUGCAUCCAACAGCUUGUCAGGGACAUUUCAAGAUGGCCCCUCUGAGAACACCUAUUUCGUUCUUUCCCUUCUCUGUGAUAUGAUUAAGUCCCUCGAGUUAUAACAGCUCUCAUUGUGGCUCAGGAAGGUGAUAGAACAUGAUUGGAAUGAGCUGUCGGUGCAGAGGGGCUGGACGAGAGGCAGAGGUGAGGACUGGUAGGUAAAGCGCAUGAGGCACAGUGGGCAGGGCUGGGCUCAGGCUUAGGGUGCUGUGGGAAAGGCCUCUGUGAACUGGGUUAAGUGUCCAGGUAUGCAGGCAAAUCCCAAGACCAAGAACAGGUAAGACAGGGGAGCCCCCACAUAAGCUUGGUUGGCUCAGAUGAUACACACCCCCUCCUCUGAGCCAACGGUGGGCCCUGGGGCCACAGGUGGACCCAGCCCAGGGGAAGCUGAUGGCUGCAGUUGAGAAGCAGGGUCAGGCAUCCAGAAACACAUGGCCUGUCUCAAUCUGAAUCUGAGCACAUUGUCAAGUCAGGGGUUAGAGGCCAGAACUGGGGACUGUGGACCAGCCUGGAUGGAUGCGUGCACCAGAAGCUGCGGUGACAGGGCCCAAGGGGUGGGCUCCUAGAAAUCUGUGUCUGGGUGAGACCAUUCCAUGUCUACCCUGCUUUAGCUGUUCAUUUCAGUCCCCGUUUCUGCAUUUUUG